UGUGUAAUAAGAAUAAUAAGAUCCGUAAAAUUAGGGUCAAUUUUUUCUUAGAAGUGAAAAUAAGCUUUUGAGUUCAGGUUAACAAAUAAUAAAUUUAAAACUAAUACUAUUAAUUCAUAGUAGAUGGCUCUUUCAAAAAUAGUAAUUAUAAUGUUAUUAAAUGGAACGUUUUUUUAAUUUUAAGUGCUUAUUUAAGUGUUUUCUGUAUUUUUAUCAAUACUUAUGAAGAGAAUUAUUUAAGGUGAGUUAAUUCUCAUUUAUUUUUUUAUUAAAUAAGAUUAAUGACAGAUUAAUAUUUGACAGUUAUAAAUUUAAAACUAAUACUAUUGAUUUAAACUAGAUGGCUCUUUUAAAAAUAUGUCAAACUCGAAGUAAUUAUACAGUUAUUAAAUGGAAUUUUUUUUUAAUUUUAAGCACUUAUUUAAGUGUUUUCUUUAUUUUUAUCAAUACUUAUGAAGAGAAUUAUUUAAGGUGAGUCAAUUCUCAUUUAAUUUUUCUAUUAAAUAAGAUUAAUGACA